UUUAAAUACUUUGGUUUGAUAGAGGCACAUUUGCAUUAGACGAAAAUUUUGAAGAACGAAGUGGAUUUUAAUCAGAAAGUGUUGAAGCCCAACUGAAGAUUUUUGGCAAAAACAAGUUUGAAGAGAAGCCAGUAACUAUCGACUGUCAUUCACAUAGGCAACAAAGCUCUACAUCAACUUUGACAUUCCAAAAGUCACAAAGGAAAUUAUGCCAAAAGGACCUCCUAAAGGACUGGAUGUAUAACUUUCUUACAUAAUAGAAAAAUAGUUGCUGAAAUAGAAGACUUGGAAGCAUAAAAAAUGCUUAAGAAUUAUGCAACAAGUUCUAUUCUUCAUACCCUUUUCUUAUUUACUUAAUUUUCUGUUUUAUUUCAGAUUAUGAGAGAUUUAAUUUUCUAUAUUUAGGCUAUGGUUUUGUAAUCUGAGCAUCCUAAGACUCUUAUAUCAACAUGAAUUUAAGUUUUGUAAUAUAUGUGAUUCUAAUUUUGAACUUA